GGAUGUGAUGGCAAUCUGGCUGUGACAUCUGUCACUCCACUGAAUGCCAGGGCUGAUCUGGCUGGUCUGGAUGGCUAUGCAGGUGUCACCUUCUUCCCUCACCACUCCAUGUGCAUCCCUCCUUGAAGCUGGAGCUGCACACUUGGUGGAAGAGGACAACCACCCCCAAGAGGAGGAACUUUUCCUCCUUGGUCAAUGGUAUAGGAGUAGCUGUCAAACAAGCUCUCAAAAAUAACAGAAAAAAUUCCCCUGGGAUUAUUCUCU
rnacentral:snRNA from 1 species